GCCGGAGUGUUGGAAUGGUAGACAAGGAUCACUCAAAAUGAUUUGCCCGUAAGGGCGUGUGGGUUCGAAUCCCACCUCCGGCA
rnacentral:tRNA from 1 species